rnacentral:lncRNA from 1 species
GCCGCCAACUGCCGGGGCGAGCGUAGCGCAGUGGCCGGAUCCCGGUAACUAAAGUUCCGAGAAGCCUGACUAAACCCUCAAAGCCGGGACUGUCAAGACUAACGCCGGCGCCGAGGGCGGCAGACGGAUGCGUCCCAGCGGAGCGCGCCUCUCGGCGUCAGGCUGAUGGAACAGGCAGCGAGGGGCGGCCAGGAGCCGGCACAAGUUAGGUCCUCGGCCGGAGCAGCCCAGGUUCACAGAAGACUCGGGCCUCAGCAGAAUGAUUAAAUGAUUCCAAAGUCUUCACCACUGAGCUUUGUCAAUGCUGACACCGGAAUGGAAAGCCCAAUUGUUCUGUGAAAGGCUGUGGAGACCCCCAAGGUGUAUGUCUGUGCGCCAAUGACAUGUUUGGGACCCACAGAAGCUGGAAAAGGGUGCUGGAUCUCCUGGAGCCUGAGUUACACAUGGCUUGUGAGCCACCAUGUGGGUGAUGGGAAUUGAACCCAGGUCCUCUAGAAAAGCAGCCAAUACACUUAAUUAACCACGGAGUCAUCUCUCCAGCAUCUGCUAACCCAAGUAAUUUCUUUUAAAGAAAGACAAUGGAGUAGUUCAAAAGAGCUCUUUAUAUUGCUC